rnacentral:rRNA from 1 species
GUUUUUAAUUGGGAUCUGGGAUGAAGGGUUGAAGCCUUAAAAGAAUGUUUUAUUUAGAGAUUUUGAGAUUAAAUUAAAAGUAAGAAUGCUUUUAUAAUUUCUUGGGACAAGAAGACCCUAGAAGCUUGGUUUAUAGUGACUUUAAUUGGGGUAAUUUUUGAAGAUGAAUAUUUUUAAGGAAAGAGUAAGAGAAUUAAAUAGAAAAAUAAGUUACUCUAGGGAUAACAGCGUAAUUUAAUUUAUAAGUUCAUAUUUAUAAUUAAGCUUGCGACCUCGAUGUUGAAUUAAAUUUAAUAUAAGAUGAAGAAGUCUUAUUAAAUAGUCUGUUCGACUAUUAAAAAUUUACAUGAUUUGAGUUCAAACCGGUGUAAGCCAGGUCGGUUCUUAUC